rnacentral:rRNA from 1 species
AUGCGUCGAACACGCACUAGAGCAAAUCAAAACAACGGAAGGAAUAUGUGGCGUCAUCAAGGAAUCCAAAUACCUGAGCAAGCAGCCUCCAAACUAGCAACACUCGAAUCUAAUGAUAGUCAAUCAGACAUCAUUAGAGCAGCAGCAAAGGAAGCUAGGCGGAAAAGGAAAGAGAUCCUCAAGCUGAAAAAGGCAAGCAAACGACUAAGGAUAGAAAAGGGCAAUGACUGUGAAGUAUCUCAUGUAGCGAAGGAUGUCACUCAAAUUUCAUAUCUGGGAAAACCAAAUUGUGUUUGUGAAUUUUGCAAUGCCAUUAUGUGGCAUGGAGAGAGAAGCACAAGCACAGGUAACAUCACAGUUCCAAAAUUUGGUCUCUGCUGCAAGGAAGGGAAAGUUAAAUUACCACCACUGAAACAAGCUCCGCUGUAUCUCCGACAGCUACUACGUUACAAUGAAAGAGGAGAAUCAUCAAAUUUCCACAAGAACAUCAGGUUGUACAACUCGAUGUUCGCAUUCACUUCAAUGGGAGGAAAGGUUGACUAUGAAAUUAAUAAGCAGGCAUCUGGACCGUAUGUUUUCCGUUUGAAUGGCCAGAAUUACCAUCAGAUUGGCACUUUACUUCCUAAAGAUGACGUGACGAAGCCAAAAUUUGCCCAAUUGUACAUACAUGACACAGAAAAUGAAGUGCGGAAUAGGAUUAAUGCAUCUGCUUCAACGGAGAGUAAGACACAACCAGAUGAAAACAUUGUCAAAGGACUACUGGAGAUGCUUGAUGAGCACAAUGUUUUAGUCAAAUCAUUUCGUAUGGCAAGGGACAGAUUCCAAAACCGACGUAUUAAAGAUGUAAGACUAAGAUUGAUCAACAAAAGGUCGAAAGAUGGACGGCAAUACAACCUACCAUCUGCCUCAGAAGUCGCAGCACUAAUUAUUGGGGAACAAGAAGGAGAAAAUAAUGAAUUUGAUAUAAUAGUUGAGACCAAAGACAGAAUGUUACAGAGGAUUUCAGAGUUGCACCCAAGCUAUAUGUCAAUGCAGUACCCCUUGCUUUUUCCAUAUGCAGAAGAUGGUUUCAGACCAGAAAUAGAGUAUGAAAAAAAAGAGGCAGCAAAGGUAAAAGAAAGUACGUAA